rnacentral:rRNA from 1 species
CGAAGCAACGCGAAGAACCUUACCUAAGCUUGACAUCCCAAUGACAUCUCCUUAAUCGGAGAGUUCCCUUCGGGGACAUUGGUGACAGGUGGUGCAUGGUUGUCGUCAGCUCGUGUCGUGAGAUGUUGGGUUAAGUCCCGCAACGAGCGCAACCCUUGUCUUUAGUUGCCAUCAUUAAGUUGGGCACUCUAGAGAGACUGCCAGGGAUAACCUGGAGGAAGGUGGGGAUGACGUCAAAUCAUCAUGCCCCUUAUGCUUAGGGCUACACACGUGCUACAAUGGGUAGUACAGAGGGUUGCCAAGCCGUAAGGUGGAGCUAAUCCCUUAAAGCUACUCUCAGUUCGGAUUGUAGGCUGAAACUCGCCUACAUGAAGCUGGAGUUACUAGUAAUCGCAGAUCAGAAUGCUGCGGUGAAUGCGUUCCCGGGUCUUGUACACACCGCCCGUCACACCACGGGAGUUGGAGACGCCCGAAGCCGAUUAUCUAACCUUUUGGAAGAAGUCGUCGAAGGUGGAAGCAAUAACUGGGGUGAAGGCGUAACAAGGUAGCCGUAUCGGAAGGUGCGGCUGGAUCACCUCCUUUCUAAGGA